rnacentral:rRNA from 1 species
GACGAACGCUGGCGGCGUGCCUAAUACAUGCAAGUAGAACGCACAGUUUAUACCGUAGCUUGCUACACCAUAGACUGUGAGUUGCGAACGGGUGAGUAACGCGUAGGUAACCUGCCUGGUAGCGGGGGAUAACUAUUGGAAACGAUAGCUAAUACCGCAUAAUAUUAAUUAUUGCAUGAUAAUUAAUUGAAAGGUGCAAUUGCACCACUACCAGAUGGACCUGCGUUGUAUUAGCUAGUAGGUGAGGUAACGGCUCACCUAGGCGACGAUACAUAGCCGACCUGGGAGGGUGGUCGGCCACACUGGGACUGGGACACGGCCCAGACUCCUACGGGAGGCAGCAGUAGGGAAUCUUCGGCAAUGGACGAAAGUCUGACCGAGCAACGCCGCGGGGGGGAAGAAGGUUUUCGGAUCGUAAAGGUCUGUUGUAAGAGGAGAAAGGGUGUGAGAGUGGAAAGUUCACACUGUGACGGUAUCUUACCAGAAAGGGACGGCUAACUACGUG